AAGUCGUAACAAGGUAACCGUAGGUGAACCUGCGGUUGGAUCAUUAUAAAUAUUUUUUAUAAUUUUUUUUACAAGAUAUUAUAGAAUUUCAUAAUAGUUUUUUUUUGAUUUUUGCUCCAUAAAAAUUAUUUGUUGAGCAGAAUGAUCUUUUGUAUUAUGAAAUUCUAUAAGUCUUUGUAUUAAAAACAAACACUAUGUGCACUAUAAUAGUUUUUUGGGUUAUCUUUUUUAAAAAAAAAAGGUAAUCCAGUCUAUAUAUAAACCAAUAUUUUUUAUUAUAAGUCUGACGUUUUUUUCAUAUAAAAUUGAAAUAUAAAAACAACUUUUGACAACGGAUCUCUUGGCUCUC
rnacentral:misc_RNA from 1 species